rnacentral:misc_RNA from 1 species
AGAGAGAAAGAGAGAGAGAGUGAAGAUGUGCGGACUUAAAAAUGAAGAAGGUUACGAGGAUGUGAAAAUAUAAAGAGGGAUGAUGUGGACGUGAAAAACGAAGAGAAUGAAUGGGCAAUGUUAGCGGUGGAUAUCGGAUUUUCUCCUAUCGUUGAGGAGCGGUUCAAGACAAGGGUGCAAUGCUUUUGAUAUUUGCUACUCCUCUCGCUACGGGAAAAUUAUAGAGUGCACACAAAAAUAUAGUGUUGUUCACUCUCUUACAUUUUGGUGAGCCUCCUGUAAUAUGUAAUAUGAAAAGGUAAUUAAAAAAAG